AUUAUAAGCAACUUCAAAAAGGCAAAUAUGAAUACAUAUAAGAGGAAUUGGGCUGAAAUACUAUUAACAGUAUUUGAUUUUUUUUUAUCGAGUUUUUAACUCUCGGAUAAAAAAUUAUCCGACUAAGAUGAUAGCGGUCCCAUAAAAUUUAUUGGUGGUUUUAGAGUUGAGUGAGUGGUUGGUUGAAUAGUAUUAUUCAAGGGAUGGAAUUGAUUACAGUGUAGAUCUAACGGCUAAAAAGUCGAUAGCAAAAAAAUCAAAAUACUCUUAAUAGUAUUCGAGAUCAACUCCAUAAAAGAGAAGCAUUUCAGUGAUCCUAAUUUUUUUUUUUUUUUUUGAGAGAGAGAGACAAUGAUAAUGUUAUCACUUCUUUUAUUUUUUAAAUUAAAUUUAACUAAAAAUAUAAAAUAAAAUUUAAAUGUAAAAUUUCAGACACAAAUCAUCAACCCAUUUUUUCCACCUAGGCUGAAAAAAC
rnacentral:lncRNA from 1 species